AAAUUUUUUAUGCAUUGUGGGCGGUAUGGAAAUACGCAUACCAUAUACAGUGAUUGAUUCACGCACGAAACUCACAUGUGAUGUGCAAAUAAAUUAUUUUUUACUAACUUUAUGUAAAAAUUAAUCAUCGCGGAUGGUGCAUGCGGUUAUGCACCAUCCACGGUGCACAAAGAAUUUCACCAAGCGAAAGAUAUCAAAAAUGCAGACAAGCCAGGUGGCCCAUCCAAUCCACUGGGCCACAAAGAAUUUCACCAAGCGAGAGAUAUCUGAAAUGCAGACAAGCCAGGUGGCCCAUCCAAUCCACCGGGCCCAGCCCAAAAGUUAAUCAGUUUGGGCAUGAAAUAUUGGCCUAUGGUGUGGACCUGGGCAAAAGAAUACGCCCGAUCUAAAAAUUGAGCCGGACCUGAGAAAAUGAAAAAAAAAAUGACCCACCUUGAGAUUAUAUCUAUAUAUUAUAGAUAUAUGAUAAGUAUAAUAACUAAUUAUAUAUUAUAAUGACAUAAUAAUAUAUUAUAUAGAUAAUAAACUAAUUAGUUUCACAUAUAUAAAUAGAGGAAACUAAUAGUUAAUAAACCAUUAUAUAGAUGCUUUUUUGCACAACAAAAUUAUAUUGCGCUCAACCGAUAAUAAUGGGGGGAAAGAGAAAAUCAGCUUGAGCCUACCCCAACCCAGCGCUUGAUCAGUUCUAUUAAAAAAAAAUUAUAUAUUAUCAGUACUAUAUUAUAAAUAUAAUAUUCUAUAAAUAUUUAAAAGAUUUAAAUAUGUAUAAUGUAAGUUAAAUUUGUUUCAAUAUUCAUAACAUUAUUAACCGCUACAAAUACUGUUGUGUGAAAAACAAUAAAUGAAAACAUG
rnacentral:lncRNA from 1 species